ACCUGCUGCGGGCGGCAUCAAGAGGGUGCCCGCAGCGCCAGGAACAACACCGUGUCAUGGGAACAACGUGACACUUCUGGGCGUU
rnacentral:sRNA from 1 species